rnacentral:rRNA from 1 species
CCUACGGGUGGCAGCAGUGGGGGAUAUUGCACAAUGGGGGAAACCCUGAUGCAGCGACGCCGCGUGUGGGAAGACGGUCCUCUGGAUUGUAAACCACUGUUCCCAGGGACGAAGAUGACGGUACCUGGGGAGGAAGCUCCGGCUAACUACGUGCCAGCAGCCGCGGUAAUACGUAGGGAGCGAGCGUUGUCCGGAAUUACUGGGUGUAAAGGGAGCGUAGGCGGGGAUGCAAGUUGGGGGUCAAAACUACCGGCUCAACUGGUAGUCGCACUCAAAACUGCAGCUCUUGAGUGAAGUAGAGGCAGGCGGAAUGCCUGGUGGAGCGGUGAAAUGCGUAGAUAUUAGGCAGAACACCAGUGGCGAAGGCGGCCUGCUGGGCUUUUACUGACGCUGAGGCUCGAAAGUGUGGGGAGCAAACAGGAUUAGAUACCCCGGUAGUC